rnacentral:rRNA from 1 species
UAAUGCUUGGGAAGUCUGGCUUAUGGAGGGGGAUAACUACGGGAAACUGUAGCUAAUACCGCGUAGUAUCGAGAGAUUAAAGUGUGGGACCUUCGGGCCACAUGCCAUAGGAUGAGCCCAAGUGGGAUUAGGUAGUUGGUGAGGUAAAGGCUCACCAAGCCGACGAUCUCUAGCUGGUCUGAGAGGAUGACCAGCCACACUGGGACUGAGACACGGCCCAG